rnacentral:rRNA from 1 species
UACGUAGGGUGCGAGCGUUAAUCGGAAUUACUGGGCGUAAAGCGUGCGCAGGCGGCGCGUUAAGACAGGUGUGAAAGCCCCGAGCUUAACUUGGGAAUUGCGCUUGUGACUGGCGUGCUGGAGUGUGGCAGAGGGAGGUGGAAUUCCACGUGUAGCAGUGAAAUGCGUAGAGAUGUGGAGGAACACCGAUGGCGAAGGCGGGUCUCUGGGCCGAAACUGACGCUGAGGAGCGAAAGCGUGGGGAGCAAACAGG